rnacentral:rRNA from 1 species
CAAUAGCGUAUAUUAAAGUUGUUGCAGUUAAAAAGCUCGUAGUUGGAUUUCGGGACGGGCCAGUUGGUCCGCCGCAAGGUGUGUUACUGACUGGUCUGUUCUUCUUCGCAAAGACUGCGUGUGCUCUUCGUUGAGUGUGCGUAGGAUUUACGACGUUUACUUUGAAAAAAUUAGAGUGUUCAAAGCAGGCUAUCGCUUGAAUACAUGAGCAUGGAAUAAUGGAAUAGGACUUUGGUCCUAUUUUGUUGGUUUCUAGGACCGAAGUAAUGAUUAAGAGGGACAAUUGGGGCAUCCGUAUUUCGUUGUCAGAGGUGAAAUUCUUGGAUUUACGAAAGACGAACAACUGCGAAAGCACUUGCCAAGAGUGUUUUCAUUAA